rnacentral:tRNA from 1 species
GCCUGGGUGGCUCAGUUGGUUAAGCGUCUGACUUCAGCUCAGGUCGUAUCUCGCAGUUUGGGGGUUUGAGCCCCACGUCAGGCU